CUCCGGUUGAUCCUGCCGGACCCGACUGCUAUCAGAGUGGGACUAAGCCAUGCGAGUCAACAUAACAAUAUGUGGCAUACGGCUCAGUAACACGUAGUCAACAUGCCCAGGGGACGUGGAUAACCUCGGGAAACUGAGGAUAAACCGCGAUAGGUCACUACUUCUGGAAUGGGUAAUGACUCAAAUCUAUAUGGCCCCUGGAUUGGACUGCGGCCGAUCAGGCUGUUGGUGAGGUAAUGGCCCACCAAACCUGUAACCGGUACGGGCUCUGAGAGGAGGAGCCCGGAGAUGGGCACUGAGACAAGGGCCCAGGCCCUAUGGGGCGCAGCAGGCGCGAAACCUCUGCAAUAGGCGAAAGCCUGACAGGGUUACUCUGAGUGAUCUCCGUUAAGGAGAUCUUUUGGCACCUCUAAAAAUGGUGCAGAAUAAGGGGUGGGCAAGUCUGGUGUCAGCCGCCGCGGUAAUACCAGCACCCCGAGUGGUCGGGACGUUUAUUGGGCCUAAAGCAUCCGUAGCCGGUUCUACAAGUCUUCCGUUAAAUCCAGCUGCUUAACAGAUGGGCUGCGGAAGAUACUAUGGAGCUAGGAGGCGGGAGAGGCAAGCGGUACUCGAUGGGUAGGGGUAAAAUCCGUUGAUCCAUUGAAGACCACCAGUGGCGAAGGCGGCUUGCCAGAACGCGCUCGACGGUGAGGGAUGAAAGCUGGGGGAGCAAACCGGAUUAGAUACCCGGGUAGUCCCAGCUGUAAACGAUGCAGACUCGGUGAUGAGUUGGCUACAUGCCAUCUCAGUGCCGCAGGGAAGCCGUUAAGUUUGCCGCCUGGGGAGUACGGUCGCAAGACUGAAACUUAAAGGAAUUGGCGGGGGAGCA
rnacentral:rRNA from 1 species